AACGCACCUUGCGCCCUCUGGUAUUCCGGAGGGCAUGCCUGUUUGAGUGUCAUGUAGACUCAACCAAUCCGGGUUUCCGGACUGGUUGGACGUGGGUGCUGCCGCUUGGCUCGCCUCAAAUGCCUUAGCGGCCCUGAACCGAUACUGGCGUGAUAAGUUUCGUCAGUCAGAGGGGAUGACCGCUCCUAACCGCCCGUGGGCAAUCUUUUGACUCUGACCUCAAAUCAGGUAGGACUACCCGCUGAACUUAA
rnacentral:misc_RNA from 1 species